AGCGAACGCUGGCGGCAGGCCUAACACAUGCAAGUCGAGCGCGCAGCAAUGGGAGCGGCAGACGGGUGAGUAACACGUGGGGAUCUACCCAAUGGUACGGAAUAACCCAGGGAAACUUGGAUUAAUACCGUAUGUGCCCUUCGGGGGAAAGAUUUAUCGCCAUUGGAUGAACCCGCGCCGGAUUAGCUAGUUGUUGAGGUAAAGGCUCACCAAGGCGACGAUCCGUAGCUGGUCUGAGAGGAUGUUCAGCCACACUGGGACUGAGACACGGCCCAGACUCCUACGGGAGGCAGCAGUGGGGAAUGUUGGACAAUGGGCGCAAGCCUGAUCCAGCCAUGCCGCGUGAGUGAUGAAGGCCUUAGGGUUGUAAAGCUCUUUCGCCGGUGAAGAUAAUGACGGUAACCGGAGAAGAAGCCCCGGCUAACUUCGUGCCAGCCGCCGCCGUAA
rnacentral:rRNA from 1 species